rnacentral:rRNA from 1 species
UACGUAGGGAGCAAGCGUUGUUCGGAAUUACUGGGCGUAAAGGGCGCGUAGGCGGCCUUCUAAGUCGAACGUGAAAUCCCCGGGCUCAACCCGGGAACUGCGUCCGAUACUGGAAGGCUUGAAUCCGGGAGAGGGAUGUGGAAUUCCAGGUGUAGCGGUGAAAUGCGUAGAUAUCUGGAGGAACACCGGUGGCGAAGGCGACAUCCUGGACCGGUAUUGACGCUGAGGCGCGAAAGCCAGGGGAGCAAACGGG